UUUGGCUGGAUCAUGGACUACCCACCGACGGAGAAUUUGUCAUUGAGCUGAUGGGAAAUGUGUCGGCACUCGGCUUCGUUUCAACCUGGAGGAAGAUUGGCAGCAGCAAAAAGAAAUUCAACUGAUAAUCAACUGUCCAAAUGAAGAAGAAUUUGUCACAAAGCUGAUGGGAAAUGUGUCAGCACUCGGCUUCGUUUCAACCCGGAGGAAGAUUGGCAGCAGCAAAAAGAAAUUCAACUGAUAAUCAACUGUCCAAAGUAUUUUGAAGAAGAAUUUGUCACGAAGCUGAUGGGAAAUGUGUCGGCACUCGGCUUCGUUUCAACCCGGAGGAAGAUGGCAGCAUCAAUAAGAAGCUCAUCUUAAUUUAGUUGUCCCCCCUUUACGCAAUAGCGCUCAUCUCUCAUCCACUCAUCCAACACAUUCACUAUCGCCGGCCGGCAACACACAUAUAUAAAUAUAUUAUACACAUUACCCGUUUUAUAUUAUAUAAUAUUAUUAACACCUACAUAGUUUAAGUUAUUGUAUAUUUUUUUUUUUAUUAUUUGAAUGCAUUCAUAUGAU